rnacentral:rRNA from 1 species
GACGAACGCUGGCGGCGUGCUUAACACAUGCAAGUCGAACGGAAAGGCUCCAGCUUGCUGGGGUUCUCGCGUGGCGAACGGGUGAGUAACACGUGGGUAAUCUGCUCUGCACUCUGGGAUAAGCCUGAGAAACUGGGUCUCAUACUGGAUAUGACCUUUCUCCUUUUGGGGUUCGGUGGACAGUUUUUCUGUGUAGGAUGCUCCCGCGGCUUAUCUGCUUGUUGGUUGUGUGAUGGCCUAUCAAGGCGACGACUGCUUGCCUGCCCGAGAGGGUGAACAGCCACCUGAGUCCUGAGGUACGGACCAGACUCCUACGGGAGGCAGCAGGGGGGAAUAUUGCACAAUGGGCGGAAGCCUGUGGAAGCGACGCCCCGUGAGGGAUGACGGCCUACGGGUUGUAAACCUCUUUCAGCAGGGACGAAGCGUAAGUGACGGUACCUGCAGAAGAAGCACCGGCUAACUAUGUG